rnacentral:lncRNA from 1 species
GUAGCAUGAUGAUUGAGUCUAAAUGGAGGAUGUGUAUACCACACAGGCAACCCACCUAAAGAGGGCUUUUCUUUAACAGUGUACGCUCCUUUUCACAUAUACAUGCAGCUAAUAAGGCUGCACUGUGUUUAGCAGCAUCGUAUGCUGCCUCUGCUGAUGCUGAAUCUUUUGGUGUCGCCAGUAAAUCGUCUUUGUAUUGAUCUAUGAAAUGGGUUUCAAGUUCACUAUUUGCAAAUGCUCUGU